CCAACUUCCUCGUAUAAUUCCAUCCAAAUGAAGGACUCUGGCAUCUUCAGAUGUUUGAAUCAGCUCGUGCAUGAAUCUCAAAUACGACGUCAACUCUCGUUGAUUCUCAUCAAAUUUUUGAGCAGACUCAUAAUUUCUCAGAGAUUGAAAUAGUAGUUUAGUAUGCGCAUCAACUAAGAAUGGAGGCAAGGAUAGACGAGGAUCGAAUGGAUAAAACUAUCUUUUGAACAUUAUCCCUUGAUUCCUCUUCGCUCUAACAACAUCAACAAUUACCCACUAAAGUCCCACAAAGUGCGGUUUGGGGAUGGUAAUAUAUAGACGAGCC
rnacentral:lncRNA from 1 species